rnacentral:rRNA from 1 species
GACAGAGGGUGCAAACGUUGUUCGGAAUUACUGGGCGUAAAGCGUGUGUAGGCGGCCAUGUAAGUCGGAUGUGAAAGCCCCGGGCUCAACCCGGGAAGUGCAUUCGAUACUGCGUGGCUCGAGUAUCGGAGAGGUUGGUGGAAUUCUUGGUGUAGAGGUGAAAUUCGUAGAUAUCAAGAGGAACACCGGUGGCGAAGGCGGCCAACUGGACGAAUACUGACGCUGAGACACGAAAGCGUGGGGAGCAAACAGG